rnacentral:tRNA from 1 species
CUAUAGCUCAGUUGGGAGAGCGCUUGCAUGGCAUGCAAGAGGUCGUCGGUUCGAGCCCGAUUAG